GACUCGUUGGUGAAAUGGCUAGCACGCCCGUACUGACAUACUGGGCGCCGAUGGUCAUGCAUUACUCAUAUGGGAGAUCCCAGUUCGAGUCUGGGACGAGUCC